CGGGGAGGGAGGGUGGUG
rnacentral:miRNA from 1 species